rnacentral:rRNA from 1 species
UACAGAGGGGGCAAGCGUUAUUCGGAAUUAUUGGGCGUAAAGGGCGCGUAGGCGGCCAUUCAAGUGACGGGUGAAAGCCCUCGGCUUAACCGAGGAACUGCCUGUCAGACUGGAUGGCUUGAGACCGGGAGAGGUGAGUGGAAUUCCCAGUGUAGCGGUGAAAUGCGUAGAUAUCGAGAGGAACACCUGCGGCGAAGGCGGGUUGCUGGGCUGACACUGACGCUGACAGCGCGAAAGCUAGGGGAGCGAACGGG